CAAUUGCUCUAAUUUGAAGUAUUUUUCGCUUCUAGUGUCCAAUUGUACGUAGUCGCACUCCCGUUUUCUUAAAGUGUUAUAUAAGCAGGAUUAUGGCUAAUCAUACCUAAUAUUAUAUGGUGUUAUUUUCUAACGUGUGCCGUCCAUCAUCCUAAUCUUAAGUGAGUUAAGAUUUGAGAGAGGCGUAUUAAAGAACGAGGGUCUAAAGCAGUAAAACCCCAAGAAAGGGACUGCAAACAUUUAUCAGAUGGUGAAAAUACUAUUUCAGUAAAGACAACGUUGUAUUUUAAUGUCUAUGUAACACAAAGAAAGACCUUUAUACCAUUAUGUUGCCACUACAAAUAAUAUUCUCGUGAGAUACCAAAACUAACCCUUUUCUUGCUUUCCUGAUUUCUUUGUUCUCAUUUAUUUGUUCAAAACUUGCUUUCUGAUUUUAAAAGAAUAUUACAUAUAUUAAAAACAAAGAAAUACGAACCAUUAUGUGUCACGGACGUGUCAUUACAAAUCCCAUGUGUCAAAAAGUUAUAACGGCGAUUCCUAAUCUAUAUUGUGCCACUCCACAAUGCUUACCAGCAUGUCACACUCCUUGCUGAGGUCAGUGGAAGACGGAAACGAGUCCAGACUCUCAAUCAACUUUUGGUUUCACCUAUAAAGAGUCCAACCGUUUCCCGUUAACUCAUCAAAUUCACAUCAACCAUUUUCUCUUCGACGCAAAAUUUUGCAUUUUCCUUGUCCUUUAUCAAAAGAAAGAACUAUGUUUUCUGUCUCUGAAUUUCAUUUUUGCACAUAUGAUAACGUCAAAGGAGGCGACAUUACUAACAAUGAUGAAGCAGUUCAGUAUGCUCAAGCUGUGUUUUCAGAAAACGAUGGCGACGACGAUGACGUUAUCUAUGACUAUGCUCCAGCAGCAUGAGUGGAUCAUUUCUUUUGUUAGGCCAAAGUGUAGAUUAUCUGGUUCUAUACUUACCAAGAUUUUGUACUCCUUUAUGAAUAAUUUUAUGCCCUAGAGCUUAUUUAUUAUAGUCGCUUUCUCAAUAAAUCUUUGAACGUUUGAUUCCCUCGACUGCUCUUAAUCUCAGGAAUAUAACUGAACAAAAUGUUUCGUUGCAGUUUUCAAAAAUAUGCGGCAGUUUAGCUUUGUUUAUUAUGGACGAUUUUAAAAUAAAUGUCAAAUUUCAGAAAACACAAAGAAUUAUAAAAAUAAUUUUUUUAUUGUUUUGGAAAUUUCUUAUAACUAAAACUUUUAUUAUUUCUCUUAGAUCUUAUGGAACAAUCUCCGUUAGAUUUCUAUUUAUAUGAAAAACAAAUUUUUUUCUAUGUGGAAUUCACUACAAGAAAACAUACCACAAUUUGACAACAUUUCUGACCAAAAAAAUGAUCAAGAAUAAUUAUAACCUUAUUCUGACUACUUUGUGAUGACUAAGAAAAAUGGUUAGAAUUUUUUAACCAAAACAUAUAGUCAAGAAAUAGUCAGAAAACAUAUAACAUUUUGACCAUAUUUCUGACCAACAUAAAUAGUCAAAAAUAUUUAUGACCUUAUUUUAACCACAUCAUGAUGAAUAAGAAAAUUGGUCAAAAAAUAGUUAGAACUUUUUAACCAAAAAUAUAGUCAAAAAGUGAUCAGCAAAUUUUGACCACAUUGUUACAAUUUUCUGACCAUAUCCUUCAUUUAACCUAGAUCUCAUAUUAUCUUUUCUCAUUUUCAUGAAUCAAGUUUCGUCCUCAAACGGCCACACUUGUAUGAGCCUUGCUCCAGUCAUAGUUCCUCUACUCAUUGCACGAAGCUCGAGCAUGAAGAUUAGGAAUGGAUCUGUUGAGACAAUGAAGAAGAAGAAGAAGAAGAAGAAGAAGAAGAAGGGAACUAGGAAAUGGCGGAGGCCCUUUAUUUCAUUUUUAGUUAUGUAUCAAUGUUUUCUUAUGAUGCUAAACAUCAAUUGUUUUAUUUCAAAUAACGUUUAAUUAUAAUAUAUUACAUUUUCAUUUAAAA